rnacentral:lncRNA from 1 species
UAAAUUGUUUUGGGCGAUUUUGAGGUUCUCUUCUUCCUGCGGAGGAAAAUUAGUUUUUGCCUUUGCACCGCGAAAUUCUGUCGCCGCCGCAUCGUAGGCUUUAGCUGCUUCCUCCGCCGUAUCAAAAAUAAAUAAUUAAAUUGAUCACUUAUCGUGAAUAUUUCCCUCAAAUACAUUAAAAAAUUCAUUUCUUAUAUUUCCAGUACCAACUCAUUCGGCUAACAAAUUAAUCUAAACUGCAAAACAACUGUAAUACAAUACCAUCAGAUAUUAAUGACUAAGAAAUAGUACUGGAGUACUUUCAAUUAUACUCCAUUCAAGCAUUUGAAUUAAAAUGACACGGAUUUCCCAAAAGUUAUCCAAGUGUAUGAUCAUUUCCUGAAAGUAAUUUUUACUCAUAGAAAUUAAAAUUAGAAAUAAUCGCAAGUAUAAUAUAAAUUAUAUAUCUACUUAAUGAUUUUGGAUAUUUAAUAAAAUACAAUUAAACCUCUUUUAUAAUAAUAUUUUUUAAUAUAAUAUUAUAUUAUAAUAGUAGUAACAACUUUUUACUUAUAAUAGUAAAAGCCAAUCGUUGUUAUAACAGUAGGUUUCUCUUUGUAAAGAAACAAGUAAAUGUAAUGGCAAAUAUCGUUUAAUCCAUUAGUGAGGCUAACAGUUCUUCACUUAAAGAAAAAAAUAAACAAAGAGAGGAGUUAAAUAUGUUUGUUACGAAGGGAAAUAUUUUAAUUUUUUUUUCCUACUUAAUCAAAAGAAGUAAGUAAGAGUAUGUAUUUAUUACGUUACUACGGUCAAAUAUCCGUAUACUUAACUCGUUUAGCUUAAAGAACGUAUUUAUUACGUUAGCUGAAAGAUAAAAACAAACCACCUAAAGGGGAGCAGACAACACCCACGUGGCACAGACUCCAUUAUUGCUCAAAAAUAACUCUGUCCUCCUCAGUAUCUGCCAUGUCCGCACUCUAAUGGACCACACGUGUCACACACCCCCACAAAAAAAAGGGUAAAAAAAAAGCAAAGUAUGAAUAAAAAAGCGAAUAUUUUAACUGUAAAUUGGAUAAAAUUUAUCUAAAAUAAUUACUAAUAUUUAUGCAGUACUUUUCCAGCUUAAAAAACCGGCGACAAGAUUAUAGGAUGAUCUUUGAACAACAGCCAUCAAAAUCAAUUGAUUUGUUUCUGUUGCAAAAAAGGUAGAGAUCAGCCAUAUUGAUAUUCACAUAGGUCGGCGGUGGCUUUUCCGUUUUCUAAUUAUCACCUAACUCUAUGUACUCUUUUUUUUUCAUUUUCCUUUUCUGUUAAAUAAACAUUAAUAGGAAAUUGCACUAAUUAAAUUAAAAAGAAGAAGAAAAGUCAAUGCUUUCAAAAUCUCCGACCAUCGUCGCCGGCGUUAUCACACGUUCUCUGGUGGAGGAAAAUUGAGGUCCAGAUUAAGACCUGGUCUGGUAGUCGGUUUAACAUCGUUACGCAUAAAAUCAAUCACCGAUGAUGACUCAGAUUCACUCUGGAUCCCACUUCCGCUGCCGCCAUGUCCGCCGUUACCGCCAAGGAAAUCAACCGUCUUCCUUUGCCGGUUGUUUUCCAGAUUUAUCACUCCCGCACGUGCCAGAGUCUCCAGAUAGUACAUGUGAUGAUUUACAGCCGGAGUUGCGCCGGUGAAUCCGCAGCCGGAGAACCCGACGGAAAUCGGAGAAGUACGGAACUGAUUGUUCUGGAACGGGAAUUUCACGCCGAGGCUGAGAUCUAACGGAGAUGAGUCAACCAUAACGGCAGGAGAUAAACCGUCACGGCUAGAUGACUCAACGGUACUGCUCUGACUCGGACUACGAUUGUUAUUAUCAUUAACAUUUGUAUUCAUCUUAACGCCUAAAUUGUUUUGGGCGAUUUUGAGGUUCUCUUCUUCCUCCGGAGGAAAAUUAGUUUUCGCCUUUGCACCGCGAAAUUCUCUCGCCGCCGCAUCGUAGGCUUUAGCUGCUUCCUCCGCCGUAUCAAAAGUCCCAAGCCAAACCCGGCUCUUUUUCCCCGGAUCUCUUAUCUCCGCCGCAUACCUCCCCCAUGGCCUCUUUCUUACGCCCCUAUAAUGCACCUCUUUUGAAAUUUCGUUCACUUUUCCAACCGCCGCCGUAACCUCCACCGCUACCGCGCCACCCUGUUGCUUCGGCGCCAUUUACGCUUUCCGCCUAUGUUAUUUUUGUAAUAGUAAUAAUUUUGGGCAAAUUAUGCUGAAAUUUGAUGAACU